rnacentral:rRNA from 1 species
UACGAAGGGGGCUAGCGUUGCUCGGAAUCACUGGGCGUAAAGCGCACGUAGGUGGAUUGUUAAGUCAGGGGUGAAAUCCUGGAGCUCAACUCCAGAACUGCCUUUGAUACUGGCGAUCUCGAGUCCGGGAGAGGUGAGUGGAACUGCGAGUGUAGAGGUGAAAUUCGUAGAUAUUCGCAAGAACACCAGUGGCGAAGGCGGCUCACUGGCCCGGUACUGACGCUGAGGUGCGAAGGCCAGGGGAGCAAACGGG